rnacentral:rRNA from 1 species
UACAGAGGUCCCAAGCGUUGUUCGGAUUCAUUGGGCGUAAAGGGUGCGUAGGCGGCGCGGGAAGUCGGGUGUGAAAGCUCGGAGCUCAACUCCGAAAUGGCAUUGGAAACUACCUGGCUUGAGGGUUGGAAGGGGGACUGGAAUUCUCGGUGUAGCAGUGAAAUGCGUAGAUAUCGAGAGGAACACCAGUGGCGAAGGCGAGUCCCUGGACAAUACCUGACACUGAGGCACGAAAGCUAGGGGAGCAAACAGG